UUUGGAUUAGACAAGUCACUUAGAGGUUGUUCCAGCCUAAAUCAUCCCAGAAUUUUAUUGUUUUUUAUUAAGGCUGAAGCCACACCGACUUUGGUUGCAUUAAUAGAAUUUGUGAAGGAAAAGGAAAGGAUUCCUUUUGCUUCUGAAAUCCUUCCGCAUGCAAGCUGCUACUGGUUGCAGUAGGAAGUCUGCAUAUAUGCAGUUGUCAUAAUCACUAUUUUCAGAUUUCUGAGGAUUCCCUCCCUUGAGCUGAACUUCUGAAGGUGUGAUUCCUAACACCUGCCACGACUGUCACUUCUCUGUCCUCGCUGCAAGUCCCUGGGUCCUUACAGAGCCACCAGCUCUUGUUUAUUCCUUGGAGAAAACCUGGAAUUAGGAGCCAGCUCUUUAACAUUUACCACCACCACUAAUCUAAUUUCAUUAUUUCAUUACUUUCAGUGGAAUUCCUUGUGAGGGUAGAGAGUGGCCAGCAUUGGUUAGGUAUGCAAGUUUAGGAUCCAGAUUUUAUACAGAAGUGUCUGUGACACUUAAAACCCUCAGAUUAUGGUAGAUCUGCUUCUUUUUUUUUUUUUUUUUGGUAGGAGCUCUGGAAAAAUGAGAACAAACCCAAGAGAUUGUAGAAGGAUAGUAUAAUAUGUCCAUCCUGCAAACAUAUGUAGGAUUCAUCUGUCAUUUCCCUGCAGCAGACUGCUCAGUGUUAACACUCUCGGGCUAUUGGCUUCUACAGCUGGACUGAAGCAGGUUUUCAUAUGACAGGAAUUAUAAUACUCCUUCUAGGUUUUUUUUUUUCCUUCUUGGAAUUAGAUGCACCCAGUUGGAAACCUCUGAAUCCACAGCAAGACUGUAGCUGUUUUUUCCACAUUAAUGAGUAAUUAAUUUUGAACUGCAAUCCAAAGAAAUAUUUAAUUGCUUACCAAUAAAAUCAGCUUCAGCAAAGAAAAAUCUCCUUUUAAAAAAAUAGUUUUCAUGACAGAAAAAUUAUUUACGAUGUGAAACAUAACUAUUUUAGGACAGUGAAAACUUUAAUUAAAUUAUUCUUAUAGGCAAGUGGGUCUGCUUUUCCCAUUUUUUGCCCAAUAUUUUACUACUGCAACAUUAGCAUUAGUCACAGAGUUAUGUCUCUGCUUAGCUUGCCAGAAUGUAAGGGAGAAAUCCAAAUGUAAAGAGAGAUCUUGUGGAAACUUCCUGAAAUCCGAGAGGGACUGAGUGCCUGUUUUACUGCAGCCCAAAGAGCUCCAGAUCCACCACAGACACCCAGGCAGUGACAUCUCCACACACCCACCUGGUGCAUUUGACUUUUCCAUAUAUCAUUACAGGUACAUCUUAUCAUACACAAGUCAGCUUGGCUUCAACAAUUCGGAACGAGCCCCCACAAAAAGCAGAUUUAUUUUGGUGUUUCUUUCAAUUACAACGGGUAACAUUUUUCUCGUUUCUUCUUGGUGGUUCUUUGGAUGUUGUCCUCAGCCAGGCACCAUUAGUGGUGACCUUGCUGCUGAUUACACAGGGUGAUCCCCUAUAUGGAUCUAGUUGUGAUUUCACACAGUUGGUUUGUUUUAUUUUACACAACUGCCUUCAGUGCAGGCAUUUCUGGUUUCAUUUAAUAAUUACUGUCAGGGUUUUACAGCCUUAUUGGUACAAGAGACUCGAAAGUGCUCAAGCCACAUAAGCUGCAUACAAAACAUUUCUUUUUACAAACUUUUUUUUCUAGAGAAUGUGGUUUAAAUAACAGUCAUAUACAUAGUUCCCUGGGAGAACCUUCCCAUUUUUGUUUGUUACAAAAGGCUCUGUUUUGCAUUAAGAAAUGUAUUCUUUUGAUCAAGGUGCAAAUCGACUGUUUCUCCUGCUCUUCCAACAGUAAAUAUACACUUAAAUUCCAGAAAUUCCAAAACCUCGUGUACCUGCAGAUGGCUGAUUUUUUACACCCCCUUCCUCAUGCUGUGAAAUGUCUCUUUGAUUCCCGACGUUCUUCGGGAUUCCAAAUCCUUCCUGCCUGUCUCCAAAGCUCUCAAAGUGCCCUCAGUGCCCGGGGCUGUGCAGAGCCCACACCCGCCUGGCUCUCCUUGCUGUCCCAGCUUUGUCUCCCCUCAGAACACCUCGCGGUAUUUUUUCAUAUAAACAAAUGCAACAAAUGAAUCAGCCAAAUCUCAAAAAAAAAAAGGAAAAAAAAAAAGGGAUAACAAUUUUCGCCUUACAAUGCACAGCACCUGGCGUACUCCAAGGGAACGCUGUGAAGGGAGACGGAAAAUCAGAAUCCCGAUUUAUUUCCUUGGAGUUUUGGGAGCGACUUGCGGCGAUGAGGGAGCGGGGCCGGCCCCCCGCUAGGGGGCGCUGGCGAGGCCGCGGCCAUGGCGCUCCCGCCCGUGAGGGAGCGGGGACUGCCCGCGCUGCCCGCGCUGCCCGCGGCUGUCGGGCCCGCCUCGGCUCUGCGCCGAGGGACUGUUCUUCCACGCCGCUGGGCACACAGCCUUGGCGGUGCUGAGAGGCAGAUUUCCAUGGAGAAGGUUAUCCCGUGGUCCCUUGGUGUUUGAUAAGCAGCAGCCCUCUGACAGAGCUCCGAGGAAGGUGCACCAGGCCAAGCUAGUGAUGGUGGCAGGAUGGCAGUGAGUGAUAACUACAGCUAAAACCGAGUUUGGGACAGCAUUUAUGUUUUUCUUACAGGUCUCUCUGGGCAGGCACACGGCCCCUCCUUUGAGAGGCAGUGGUGUCAGUACUUCUGAGUGCCAGUCCAGCCCUCAUGGAAACCCAAAUGGAAGAGCUGCUCACCUAUUUCUGCAGAUGGACACACAAUAUCCACCCCAGGAUCCAGCACCACAUUAUCCUUAUGCAUGUAACUGCUGAAGUCAUUUCCACUCAGAACUCUUGGGAAGCUGACACCAACAGACAACUGCCUUUGCUGAGUUAUAACCAAAAACAAGCAAUUUGUCCCUACGGAAGGCCACAUAUGGAAACAGCUUCCCUGGAGUGGAGUGGUAAAACAACUUCAACGGAGCUGCUGUUGUUAAGAGAACUUUGUAAGGUAAUUCUUGGGUUGAACUGCUACUCACUAAUCCUUUUAACCCUUCCACUUACUCUUGCUAUUUGGAGUGUAGCAUUUACGCUUACACUACAUAAAGCUACUCUUGGAAUCUGGGGUGCUCAUUCUCCUUCUUAAAUACCCUCCAGGAAGAUACAGCCAUCCCAACAAGUGUCUCAGCUUCAACUACAAAGAACAAAUGUUCAGUUUCAAAAGGGCUUCAGGAUGGUGAGAGCUAUUAUACCAACUGAGAAGGCCACUUACGGGAUCUCCCAGACAUCUGGCCCCAAUCUGUCACUGCUUAAUCCUACAAUCCCAAACAUUCUGUGGACGUUUGAUGCCUGGGAUAACUGUAACAAACGCUGCAUGAUCCUCAAAGUCUGUAAAUGUCAACAGAGCUCUUAAAACAAGUUUCAUCAAUAAAAAAAAAUAAUUAUAUUGCAAUUACUACUUUUGUCUUUGCUGUGAGAUCGUUAAUGCUGCGCACACCCAAGCACAGACACAAAACAAUGCCACAUGAUUACAGGAAGAACACAAUGCAGUUAUUGGGUUUUGUAACUACUGCUGCUUUCAGAACACAGCUUCUACCAAGAAAAAAUACCUCGUAGAAAUUUA